UUGUGCGCCAGGGCAUACAGAUCAUGUGUAGUCCGGAUCCGAUGCGUGCUCAGCUUCUCGCGCAUCUUGUGGUCGCGGACGUUGAUGGCGAAGGUGUUGACGAUGGCGGCAGCCCCCGCCUCCGGGAUGGAGUAGGAGAGACUGGAGAAGCGGUUGACGAAGCUCCGUAGCGUCUCUCCUGGCUUGUAACAUCCCAAAAUUUCAAACCUUUACAUGUGCAUUGCAUCCAUGAGCAUCAUGCCACAAUUGCAUGUUUGAAUUCAAAUUUUGAAUCACAAAAGGCUUUAAGAGAUUUUGUUUAUAUCCCUGUAACCUUUGGAUUUUCAAACCAAUAGGGUUGAUGUAUAAAAAGGGUUUAAUGCAUAUGUAAGCUAUCCCAUAAUUUUUGGUUACUAAUUGGAGUUGAAAAAGUAUUUUAUUCAAACAGAUAUAUAGCCCUAAAGUCGUUUAUAGGGCAAAUGUAUUUUUAUAUAUUUUAUUUUGAAGAGUAACUACUUCCAAAAGUUGUAUCAUGGUAGAACAUGAUUUUACAAAUUUUCUGGAAUUUAUUUGGACCAAUUUGGAGUUCAAACACAAAAGAUAUCAAAGAAAUGAGAAAAACAGAAAAAGAAAAGGCCUAAAAGAAAAAAAAAAGGGUAAACCGGACCGGCCCGGCCAAAAUGGGCCGCACCGGCCCAGUCCGACCGCGCCCGACCGGCCC
rnacentral:lncRNA from 1 species